AUGAACGCUGGCGGCGUGCCUCAUACAUGCAAGUCGCGCGAACGGACGAGAAGCUUGCUUCUCUGAUGUUAGCGGCGGACGGGUGAGUAACACGUGGAUAACCUACCUAUAAGACUGGGAUAACUUCGGGAAACCGGAGCUAAUACCGGAUAAUAUUUUGAACCGCAUGGUUCAAAAGUGAAAGACGGUCUUGCUGUCACUUAUAGAUGGAUCCGCGCUGCAUUAGCUAGUUGGUAAGGUAACGGCUUACCAAGGCAACGAUGCAUAGCCGACCUGAGAGGGUGAUCGGCCACACUGGAACUGAGACACGGUCCAGACUCCUACGGGAGGCAGCAGUAGGGAAUCUUCCGCAAUGGGCGAAGGCCUGACGGAGCAACGCCGCGUGAGUGAUGAAGGUCUUCGGAUCGUAAAACUCUGUUAUUAGGGAAGAACAUAUGUGUAAGUAACUGUGCACAUCUUGACGGUACCUAAUCAGAAAGCCACGGCUAACUACGUG
rnacentral:rRNA from 1 species